rnacentral:rRNA from 1 species
CCUACGGGAGGCAGCAGUAGGGAAUUUUCCACAAUGGGCGAAAGCCUGAUGGAGCAACGCCGCGUGGGUGAAGAAGGUCUUCGGAUCGUAAAACUCCGUUGUUAGAGGAGAAAGUGCGUGAGCGUAACUGUUCACGUUUCGACGGUAUCUAACCAGAAAGCCACGGCUAACUACGUGCCAGCAGCAGCGGUAAUACGUAGGUGGCAAGCGUUAUCCGGAUUUAUUGGGCGUAAAGGGAACGCAGGCGGUCUUUUAAGUCAGAUGUGAAAGCCUUCGGCUUAACCGGAGUAGUGCAUUGGAUACUGGGAGACUUGAGUGCAGAAGAGGAGAGCGGAACUCGAGGUGUAGCGGUGAAAUGCGUAGAUAUAUGGAAGAACACCGGUGGCGAAGGCAGCUCUCUGGUCUGUAACUGACGCUGAGGUUCGAAAGCGUGGGUAGCAAACAGGAUUAGAUACCCGUGUAGUC